rnacentral:lncRNA from 1 species
AGUAACAACCCCACUCCUCGAACCAGGUGUCUGCACUAAUUACUCUUCCUCAUUGUUAUUACCUGGUGAAAAUCAAUUUGAGAAAGGAAGGGUUUAUUUGGGUUUACCAUCCAUGAGGCAUGCCAACAAGAGCAUCCAUGAGGCAUGACAACAAGAGUGUUAGGCAGCUUGUCACAAUGUGUGCAGUGAAGAAGAGCCAAGUCUUCCCACAUACAUAAUGAAAAUUGGAAGAACCCAAGUGCCCAUCUCUGGAUCAAUAUGUGAUGAUGAAAUUUAAUAACAUGCUACCUACAUUUAA